rnacentral:rRNA from 1 species
GGCGAACGGGUGAGUAACACGUGGGUGAUCUGCCUUGCACUUCGGGAUAAGCUUGGGAAACUGGGUCUAAUACCGGAUAGGACAGCUGUUUAGUGUCAGUUGUGGAAAGUUUUUCGGUGCAAGAUGAGCCCGCGGCCUAUCAGCUUGUUGGUGGGGUAAUGGCCUGCCAAGGCGACGACGGGUAGCCGGCCUGAGAGGGUGGACGGCCACAUUGGGACUGAGAUACGGCCCAG